UACGGGGGGGGCAAGCGUUGUUCGGAAUUAUUGGGCGUAAAGCGCGCGCAGGCGGUCUCUUAAGUCUGAUGUGAAAGCCCACGGCUCAACUGUGGAGGGUCAUUGGAAACUGGGGGACUUGAGUACAGAAGAGGAAAGCGGAAUUCCACGUGUAGCGGUGAAAUGCGCAGAUAUCAGGAAGAACACCCGUGGCGAAGGCGGCUCUCUGGUACGUGACUGACGCUGAGACGCGAAAGCGUGGGGAGCGAACAGG
rnacentral:rRNA from 1 species